AUCAGUGGAAUCAAAAGUUACAAAGGCACUAGAGGUAUUGGUAUUCAUGAUCAUGGCUCUCGAAGACGAGCAAUGGCUUUCCAAGGAAUACUAAAUUACUUGAAUAAACUAAAUAAUUCAUGCUAUAAUUCCUUGAAGAAAUCACCACGACAGAGCUGAAAUUUCCAAAACAAUAAUUUUCUUCUACGAGAAAGGAAAAUAGUUAUGCAGUAGCG
rnacentral:lncRNA from 1 species